rnacentral:RNase_P_RNA from 1 species
AGUCGGGCGUACGGUUGCGGGAGAGAAAUCUCACGAGGAAAGUCCGCGCUCCCCACGGCAAGGAUGCCGCCUAACGGACGGUGAAGGCGACUUCAAGGAAAGUGCAACAGAAAAUAACCGCCGCAUUUGCGGUAAGGAUGAAAAGGCGAGGUAAGAGCUCACCGGCGACACGGAGACGCGUCGCGCCGUGUAAACCCCAUCCGGAGCAAGAUAGGGGCGACCUUAAUAAACGCCGUGUAAAGGUCGCCUGUGAAACGUCGCUCGAGUCCGUCGGCAACGACGGACCUAGAUAGAUAACCGUAUUAAAUGACAGAACGCGGCUUACAACCCGACUCG